CCCAAACCUGAAUCACAAAUUCCAGGAGUGGGGAUAGUGCUUGAACAAGCUCUCUGGGGGUUCUGAAGAACCCCUGGAGAGUCGGUAGAGCACAC